UGUGUAGGCGGUCAUAUUAGUCUUUCGUAAAAGCUCUCGGGCUUAACCUGGGAAAUGCGGGGGAAACGGUACGACUUCGAGGAUGCGAGAGGUAUAUGGAACUCAUGGUGUAGGGGUGAAAUCCGUUGAUAUCAUGGGGAACACCAAAUGCGAAGGCAAUAUACUGGCGCACUCCUGACGCUGAAACACGAAAGCGUGGGAAUCGAACG
rnacentral:rRNA from 1 species